GCGUAACACGUGAGCAACCUACCGAACUGUGGGGGGAUAGCCGGCCUAACGGCCGAGUAAUACCGCAUACGCUUUCAAUGAGGCAUUUCAUUGAAAGGAAACCUACGGGACAGAUCGAGGGGCUCGCGGCCUAUCAGCUAGUUGGCGAGGUAACGGCCCACCAAGGCAACGACGGGUAGGCUGGUCUGAGAGGAUGGCCAGCCACAUUGGGACUGAGAUACGGCCCAG
rnacentral:rRNA from 1 species